AUGCUGGAAUUGCCUCUCUGGGUGUGUGCUGAGCUCUGGCUGCAGGGGACUGUCAGGCCUUGGUGGCUCUGUUCCCUGAUGUCCAUUCACUGGCCUGAAUUCCUUGCAGCUCCCAGCUGGGGAAACCUGGGAUAACAUGGCAGGGACAGAGGUGACAUUUGUAGCUGCAGACUUGGGAUAAUUUCGAGGGGACCCAGCAACUGUUUCUGAAGGAAAAGGUUCGGGUUCCGGUCUCAGCUUUGCAGGUUUGGAUGAAUUCUCCCUACAGCCCGCAAUUCCAUGCCGAAUUCCUGCUGGAACAGCCUCCCAGUGCCUCCUGGAGCCCGGAUCUUCCCUUGCAGAGCUGCCGCUUUAGCGUCAGGUUUGCCAGGAAGCAGCCACGGUUCCAGGUUUGCUCAGCGGGAUCGGGACAAGGACAGGUUGAUUUUCCACCGACUUUGCUGUUUCUAACCCUCCUCCCCCGGCCCCGCUGGUGUCCCUGGGGGGACUUGAGCGAGUUCCCUGGAAUUCGGCCGGUUUUCCGCCCCGGGCCGGGCUCCAGGGGAUGUGUUGGCCCAGGAGAAGGCGGGGGCCGGACGCGCUCCCGGCCCGGGGCGAGGCAGCCCCUGAGCACGGGCGAGGACGUCUGUCCGGGCGGGAAGCCGCUGUCCCUUCGGAGCCUCGGGAGUGGCCCCGGGGAGUUCUUUUCCCCGAGGAAAGGGAUGCACAUCCGGCUGAGGAGCCGCGGGCAGCCCUUUCCCCGUGCCCACCCCACGGGGGCUGUAGGGCACAGCUCCAGGGCACAGCUCCCCCAUCCCCUGGCAAUAGGAAGCCCAAGCAGGGCUGGGUCGCUGUCUGUCUGUCGCUCCGGCCUCCUCCCGGCCCGCGUUCCCUGCCCAGCUGGGACUGCCCAGGGAGCCCCGAGAACGUUCCUGGCGGGAAGCAGGAGCCGCCGAGGGCUCCGUCCAACUCCGGGCCCGAAAAGCAGCCCCGACCUGAGCCCCCCCCGGCAUUUUGGGUU